AUUUGUGGACGCGGAGAAAGCCUUUGACAAUAUUUCUUGGAAUUUUAUGAAGAAAAAUCUGCAGGGGAUGGGGGUAGGCCAAAGUUUUGAAAAUGGUAUAGGUGCAAUUUAUUCAGAACAAAAAGCUAAGCUGAUUGUAAAUAAUGUAGUUACAGAAGAAUUUAAGAUAGAGAAAGGAACAAGACAGGGUUGCCCAAUCUCCCCAUUGCUUUUUAUUUCGGUCCUGGAGGUUUUGCUCAAUAUGAUUAGGAAAGACCAAUUGGUUAAAGGUAUACAACUCGGAGCUAAACAGUACAAAUUGAAAGCUUUUGCUGAUGACUUAGUUUUGACACUACAGGAGCCAGAAUUCAGUACAAAAGAGUAUUGCAAUUAAUUCAAGAAUUUGGUCAAGUAGCAGGUUUUAAAUUGAAUAAGAUGAAAACUAAGGUAUUAGAGAAAAAUCUUACAGAGAUUGAAAAAGAGAGGUUUCAGAAGGAGACAGGACUAACAUUAGUUAAUAAAGUGAAAUAUUUAGGGGUGCAUAUGACUGCUAAAAAUGUGAAUUUGUUCAAAGACAACUAUGAAAAAUGUUGGUUAGAAGUAAAGAAGGAUUUGGAAAUAUGGUCAAAAUUGAGGUUAUCAUUGUUGGGCCGAAUUGCUGCGAUAAAGAUGAAUGUAUUGCCUAGAAUGUUGUUUUUGUUUCAAACAUUGCAAAUUGUGGACAAAAUGGACUGCUUCAAGAGGUGGCAAAGAGAUAUUUCUAAAUUUAUCUGGCAGGGCAAAAAGCCUAGAAUAAAAUUUAAGAUAUUAACAGACGCAAAGGAAAGAGGUGGAUUUGCCCUGCCAGAUCUCAAACUUUAUUAUGAAUCAGCCGCAUUUUGCUGGCUGAAAGACUGGCUACUUCUUGAAAAUACGGACAUUUUGGACCUAGAAGGUUUUGAUAAUGUGUUUGGAUGGCAUGCAUAUUUAUGGUAUGACAAGGUUAAAGCGCAUAAGGCCUUUAAGAACCAUAUUGUCAGGAAAGCAUUGUUUAAUGUUUGGGUGAGAUAUAAGGAUUUG